rnacentral:rRNA from 1 species
GAUGAACGCUGGCGGCGUGCCUAAUACAUGCAAGUCGAGCGAACAGACGAGGAGCUUGCUCCUCUGACGUUAGCGGCGGACGGGUGAGUAACACGUGGAUAACCUACCUAUAAGACUGGGAUAACUUCGGGAAACCGGAGCUAAUACCGGAUAAUAUAUUGAACCGCAUGGUUCAAUAGUGAAAGACGGUUUUGCUGUCACUUAUAGAUGGAUCCGCGCCGCAUUAGCUAGUUGGUAAGGAACGGCUUACCAAGGCAACGAUGCGUAGCCGACCUGAGAGGGUGAUCGGCCACACUGGAACUGAGACACGGUCCAGACGCCUACGGGAGGCAGCAGUAGGGAAUCUUCCGCAAUGGGCGAAAGCUUGACGGAGCAACGCCGCGUGAGUGAUGAAGGUCUUCGGAUCGUAAAACUCUGUUAUUAGGGAAGAACAAAUGUGUAAGUAACUAUGCACGUCUUGACGGUACCUAAUCAGAAAGCCACGGCUAACUACGUG